rnacentral:rRNA from 6 species
GUUGCAAAAGAAGUAGGUAGCUUAACCUUCGGGAGGGCGCUUACCACUUUGUGAUUCAUGACUGGGGUGAAGUCGUAACAAGGUAACCGUAGGGGAACCUGCGGUUGGAUCACCUCCUUA